GUUAUGUGUACGUAUCCAUUAUUCUUCCAUCACGCCGAUUGUUCUGGAAUUUUUUUCAAUCAUAUCAUUACAAUAAUAAUGAAAAUUAAUUUUUAUUGUGCACAUAUCCUGCAAUCAAUACGUUUGUGUCCGCUAUAAUAUUUUCUAUGUUUUGUUUUGUUUUGUUUUUUUUUUGUAUAUAUUUUUAAAAGAGGUUAUACCCGCGUUAUUAUGCUGUCUUGAAGUUGACAACGGGGGCGACAUGGUAAAAUUACUUCCUACAUGAUCGUGGCGUUUAAAUUGAAAUCAUUAGAGUUUAAUCUCGGAUGACAAACAACUUAAAGAGUAGAAUAUCGUACAUAGGCAGCGUUACUCAGCCAUAGGUUCGCGACCCAAAAUUGGGUCGCGAAUAAUUUUGAAUGGGUCGCCGAAUAAUUUAAAUGCUAUUGAAAUAUUUCGAUUUUAAACUAUCCGUAUAAAAAAAAAAAUUUUAAACAUAAUCAAUGAAACAUUUUUCGUAAAUAAUUUUUCUUGACAAAUUAAAAUUCAUAAUGCUGUACUAGAAAACUGCUUUCAAUGCUGCACGCAUUCUCUAUCGGUCGACAUUCACACGGGCGCCGUUAAUGAAUUCGAUAAGUUGUUGAUUCACAUUGAAUCAAUACAUUUCGUUUUGGACUCGAUCGUUUAAUAUCGUGCACUUCAAAAGGUACCCAUUACACGUUGAGCCGUGCGUGUUACUUUAAAGAUAAAUUUGAAAGGUAAUGGUUUCUAUUAUAGCAACGGUAAUCGGACAAUUGACAUACGCCGCUCGAAAAUUCGGUAAAUACCUAGGGGGUCGCCAACACGCGCGGUUAAUAAACAGGCACUGAUAUAUAGGGAAGCGUCGAGGGGUUUUUGCGGUUUGGCGACGACAUCUUAGAGAAAAACCGCAACGCGUACCUAUCGAUUCGGUAAAUAUUCUCCCGGCGGCGAACCGUGUUGGCCGUGUUUGAAAUACGAAAACACAAAUAUACACGCAUAAACUCUUCUAGAUAUCGUAAUAUUUUCCUUAUAUUUGCAUGUAUGUUUAUGUGAUUUACAUUUACUACGUUUAACUCCCCUGGAUCCGCGGCGUACGCCGCUGCGUUCGCCCGGUUAGAGGUUGCCGUCCGAUCUGCGUUCAAACGCUGUAAACUCGACGAAGUCUCGGACUAGACGACACGGUCGGUUUUCUUCUUUACGAGUGAAAUUAUCGUUUUUACCACGUCGCCCCCCCCCCCAUCACCCCCAUAAGAAAAUUAUAGACCGAGACCUCUGUAAAUGCGAGUGUAUUGUCUCGGCCUCCACUGGAUUUUUGUUUUUCCGUUUCAUUUUCAAAAAUAUUUCCCCGUCUGUCCGGCACAGAAUUAGACAUUAAGCUAUUGAUUUACUUAUCGGCGUAUUAUAUAAUAUGUAUUAUUAUUAUUGUAAAUACGUCGGUUUAUUACUAUUUAUAAUAAUAGGUGAUAAUGUUGGUUUUCUUUGUGUUUUUUUGAUUUAGCGAUUUUUUUAUAUAAUGAACACGACAUACGGUGUCGUUCAUACGGUUCGGAGUAUCGGGUAUCAAGUAGAUUUAGACGCGAACAUAUAAUAUAUAAUAUAUAAAAUAUACAUUGUAUAUUAUAUAUUACAUUAUGUAUUGCAAAAAUAUAGUCUUAUAUACAUAUAUAAAUAUAAAUAUAUUUUUUUUCUCGUAUUAUCGAUUUACAGAAAAAAAAAAAAAAUAAAAAAAAAAUAUUAUUAUAAUACAAAAUUAUACGUCAAUAAUUUUAAUUUUAUUAAUAAGAAAUAAUAAUUAACAUAUUAAUAAUUUAAGGUAUACAAUUAUAAUAUCAAAAAAAAAAAAAAAAACAAAAUCACAUUUGUUUUUAUAUAAUAUCGCAUAGGUACUUAACGAUAAUUAAUAUUAAAUAGUUUUAAGUUGUGCGAAAAAAAAACGCAAAAAAAAAAAAUUGAUUUUAGAUUGUGUAGUGAUUUCUUUUCUUUAUUAUAUUAUACUACUGUUAGGUAUUUGAAUUUUUGAUUAUAAGAGUGAAACUAUGUUUUUUUUUUUUUUUUUUUUAUCGUAAGUAGGUACCUACGUUAUUAUAUUGUACGCGUGUAAUUAGCAUAUUUUAUAAAAAGUACUUAGUGUAAACGAAAAAAAAAAACAUUUAUGUCAUAGUUUAUCGUUUAAUAUUAUAUUGUAAGCACAGCCGUAAUGUUAAGAGUAUACAUUAAACAAUUAUCUCUAGGUUUUCGAAUAGAUAUAAUAAUAUUAUCAUUAUAAUUUACUAUAUACGGAAUCGCCGACUGGAGACGAAUCCGAUUCUAUUCGUUUGAAUGUAAUUGUGACAUCACAGACGAAAUGUCCCCUAUAUUAUUGUGUAUUAAUAUAUAUAUAUUAGCCUUUCGAUUGCAAAACCCGGUAGAAAAAAAAAAAUCCGAAAUCGUUAUUCAUCGAGCUAAACUGCAGGUGGAUAGCGAUUCCGUAUAGCAGGGAUAACGAGGAAGGAAAUUAUAAUAAUAUUUUUUAAAAUAAGCGCGACGGGAUGGAUUUAGAGUGAAUCGUUAGACGAUUUGAUUUCACGAUAAUCGUUACAAGACCGAAAGCAACGAAAUGCGCUCAUUCGCAACGAGAAGAUAUACGAAAUCGUAUAAUAAUGUUGUUAUAAUUUCGUGUUAUCGUCGUCAGUACCGUGGGCGGAGAUCCGAUAGGCGCCUAUUCGAGAGGGGAAGGGCUCCAAAACAGUCCUGAUAUUAUAAUAUAAAAUCAACUAUAUUAGAACAUAGCUUUUCACAUAAAAUAGAAAAUUUUAGGAAUAAUUGCUUUCGAUGAUUUUCGGAGGGGCUAAGUAUCCCUAGCCUCAAUCCCCGUCUGUGGUUCAUAUCUACAUGGGUUCGUCGUUAUUUACUUAUAAUAUUAUUAUAUUAACUUAAAUUUCUCGAACAUUUUUUACUUCAUUUUAAUCUAACGUCGUCGAUAAGUAGCGUUUUUAUAACACACAUAAUAUUAUUAUAGUCGCGCAUAUGCCAUACACUCGUUCGUUUUUGCUUCUAGUCGUUUGUUUUGUGUAUUUUUUUUUUUUUUAGCAAUAAGGCGUGUUGAUAAUAUUAAACCAAAUAUAAUAUACUUAAGUCAUAAUUUGCGUUUUACCGAUUUAUGUAUUAACAAUAUAAUUAUUUGUCGUAGAAAAAACCGGAAUAUAAUAUUAUAAUCACGAUCAAUUAUAUAAGUUCCAAAUAUAUAAUUAUAAUUAUACUACCUAUUGUGUUUUAAAUGACAAUUUUCCAAAACAUUGUAUACAAAUGCAAAUUUGGUAAACUAUUUUGUUACACUAGCUAUAUUAUUAUUACAAUAAUAUAGUGUGAUGGCUGACAGUUUUGUAAUUUCUAUUUAAUAUUUAUUUAUGAAAUAAACUGUAUAAUUACUAUACCGAGACG